GUGGGGAGUAUUGGACAAUGGGGGCAACCCUGAUCCAGCAAUGCCGCGUGGGUGAUGAAGGCCUUCGGGUUGUAAAGCCCUUUCGGCGGGGACGAUGAUGACGGUACCCGCAGAAGAAGCCCCGGCUAACUUCGUGCCAGCAGCCGCGGUAAUACGAAGGGGGCUAGCGUUGUUCGGAAUGACUGGGCGUAAAGGGCGCGUAGGCGGCGAACUUAGUCAGGCGUGAAAGCCCUGGGCUUAACCUAGGAAUUGCGUUUGAUACUGGAUCGCUGGAGUGUGGGAGAGGAUGGUGGAAUUCCCAGUGUAGAGGUGAAAUUCGUAGAUAUUGGGAAGAACACCGGUGGCGAAGGCGGCCAUCUGGACCAUUACUGACGCUGAGGCGCGAAAGCGUGGGGAGCAAACAGGAUUAGAUACCCUAGUAGUCC
rnacentral:rRNA from 1 species